AUGGGGCGACCGGACGCACCUGGGCACGCCCGCCACGUCGGACUGACGGAUGGGUUCCAUGGGGAAACGUCGGGAACCCGGCGGUUCGAUGGACGUCGCGUCCGUCCCCGCGGUGUGAACGCCGCGUGGCGCUGCUCCAGCUCGCCGCCCAGGACCAAAUCCGGCUAUUUAAGCCGGCAGGCGUCCCACAACCCUAACACAUCCACCUCCCCAUCUCCGUGCCGCCAGUCUAAAGCCAUCCACCUCGUCCCUCUCCCGCUCUGCCCACGGUCCAACGCUCCGCCCACGCUCUGGCACUCCGCCAUGGUCCGAAGCAAGAUCACCUACUACGCCAUGCUGAUGCCGGAGCGCCGCUGCGAGAUCCAGCAGGAGAUUGAGGCAAGGCAAGCCGCGCGUGCCGCCCACAUCGCUGCCGGGCUGCCUCCGGACUCGCUGGAGCCGAAGGAGGAGGAGCAGCUGGGGGAAGAGGAGGAGGAGGAGAUGGCUUCGAUGGAGAUGGUGGAGGCGGAUCCGGAGCUGCCGGAGCAGCAGCUGCCGGGCUUCAACAUGGAGCAGGCGGAGGCGGAGUUCGCCGUCGCCCAGUCCGACGAGAUGGCGGAGCAGCAGGCCAUCCUGGAGUCUAUCUAG
rnacentral:rRNA from 1 species